rfam:Camelus ferus unplaced genomic scaffold scaffold201, whole genome shotgun sequence.
GAAGGUAUAGCUCAAGUGGUAGAGUGCAUGCUUAGCACAUACAAGGUCCUGGGUUCAAUCCCCAGUACCUCCU